ACUCAAAGGAAUAGACGGGGGCCCGCACAAGCAGCGGAGCGUGUGGUUUAAUUCGAGGCUACACGAAGAACCUUACCUGGGUUUGACAUGCAGGUGGUAGGGAUGUGAAAGCAGACCGACCUUCGGGAGCCUGCACAGGUGCUGCAUGGCUGUCGUCAGCUCGUGCCGUGAGGUGUUAGGUUAAGUCCUGUAACGAGCGCAACCCCCGGGGUCAGUUACACGUAGUCUGGCCCGACUGCCCGUGACAAGCGGGAGGAAGGUGGGGAUGACGUCAAGUCAGCAUGGCCUUUAUAUCCAGGGCUACACACACGCUACAAUGGCCGGUACAAUGGGAAGCCAAGCCGCAAGGCGGAGCAAAUCCUGCAAAGCCGGUCACAGUUCGGAUUGUGGGCUGCAACCCGCCCACAUGAAGUUGGAGUUGCUAGUAACCGCGCGUCAGCCAUAGUGCGGUGAAUACGUUCCCGGGCCUUGUACACACCGCCCGU
rnacentral:rRNA from 1 species